rnacentral:misc_RNA from 1 species
UGUCCUCUCGUCUUGCACGCGGAACCUACAACGGUGGGCUGCUAUCGACGGAAGCUGGAACGCUGGCUCGGGUCGUUGCGGACGGUACAAUCACACUAGCGGGCUAUUUGGGCGAAAGCCAUCUCCUGAAUGUCACCCUCUUGCCUUCGCUGGUCAUCUGCAUUGUGUCAAUUGCUGCCACCUUCCUUACAUACAAUACUCUUUAUUGAUUAUCAGGUAGUAUUUAUUUUUGUUUUCCUUUUAUCAUUUAUUAUCAUUUUAAAUUUUGCCGAUUGUAAAGGCUGUACAGUGGGAACCACUCUAUUGAAUUUAUGACCUUUGGAAAUGUAUUUG